UUCUAUUCAUAAUAAUGUCGAUAUUGUCCAUCCAAUACCAUGCUUCCAACUACUCACAAGCAACCAAUCCUCGUCGAAAUUUGGAUUGUCCUUCGAUAGUUGUUUAAUUAUUUUAGUCAAAACCGAUUCUAGUCCUUUUUCCCUCUAAAUGCGCUAGACAUUUGGAAAAUUUUAGAAUGGUCAAACAUUAAAUCAUUUGCAAUCGAUCCUAUACCCGAAGCGUAUGGGACACGACGCAUAAUGUUUUAUUUGCUAUGUUCUCAAAAUUCGAAUUGUGAAGAGGAAUGUCGUAAUCAUAAUCGAAAUUUUAAGAACACACUAUGUACCCUUGACUAAAUUUAUUAACAUUUCUCAACCUAAUCCUUUAGAUUUGAAAUGAAGCAUAAUAUUCUCUCCCUUAAUUAUAGCAAAACAACUUUACAAACCUUACGACUUUGCAAGGUAUAACUCUUGUUUUCUAUAAUUAAUAUUGCCAACUUGCAAUACGUGCCUUAAUAAUCAUACAAUCAUAACUUUUAUGCUCCCACUAUCAUGAUGAUUAUUAUAAAACAUAACACUUAUGCUCCCACUAGCUUCGACAUGUAUUCAUAAACAUCUUAACUUUCAGAAAAACAAUACCUAUUGAAUUUCUUAAGUCCAUGUUUCUAAUACUUAAUGCUUUGAUAAUCUUUUAUCAAGGCUUCUUGAACUUAUACACCUUUGCCUUAGAUAGUUCAUAUGUGUGUCUAAACAAUUAAGACUAAUUGCCAAACCUCACAAUUCAAAUUAUGGAAAGGGAUACCGUAACCAUAAUCGAAUUCGAGAAUGCAAUUUUACAAUCACUAUCUUCUUAAAAUCUUUCUUAGUGAAAGCAUUUCCUCACAAUCAUUUUCAUGAAGGAGGAAAUCUUAUGACACUUAGAUUUAAACGGUGUAUGUGUUCCUAUCCAUGUGAAUUUGUUAAAACCAAAGUUUACGACAAAUUCAAACUCAUAUGGACCGAACUUUCUUAAUCUUGAUUUCUUGCCUUAUGGUAGCACAGCUGCCCACCAUGUCUUCCAAGUAGUUAAGCAGCUCACCCUUUCCUAUCAAUGUACCUUUCAUUGAUUAAGGUGCUUUGCCUUUUAUGCGUUCAAAAUGAUAACUCAUAGAACUCACAUGCAUAAUUAACCUUAUUGGAUUGGCACGGAAACAAAAUAAUGUCAUCACGAUAGGUUGUAAACCUCAACUCGUGUGCUAGUGAUGAUUGAUAAGGUUUAUUUGAUUUGUUCUAGAAACCUUUCAAGACCAUUAAGACUCCCACUGACUCCUUGACAUAUAAGAUUCUCUUGUCAACACAUUUCUUGACAAACAAAUAUUCAAGAGUUAGUGUAGCUUUUAUCAAAACACUUCAUAAAUUGGUCCUAGUUGGUCUUUGUCUUAUUCAAUACAUCAUAACUUUCCACAUUUAAUGAAUGUUAUAAACCUUCUUUAUACUUACUCAAUGUCAUAAUCUUAACUUUGAGACUUGUUUUGGAACGAAGUAUGAUUGACCUUUUGAUUUUAACCAUUUCUUCAAAUCUUGAUUCCUCUUCUUAGACAUACAAUUGUGCUAAGAUUCACUUAGAGGAUCAAUUGAGAUAUGGUUCUUAAUCAUUAAGACCUAUCAUAAAGCAUAAAAGGUACUCUCCCUUCUUCUUAGAAUGGAGAAACUUUUAUCUUUCUGCCUACUUGAUUCUUCUUAUUCGUUCUACUAUUGAUCUAAACCCUUUAAUCAAUUCAGAAUUACACUUAAUCUUGUAAGUAUAAUCAUAUUUACUAAACCUUUAGUAAAUCAUGACGAAUAUCAUUGUUACUCUUAUGGUGGACUUGAUCAACACGCAACUUUGUGUAUUCGAUCUCCAAGUCCUUCACUUGACACUUUGUCAAUGAAUUAGUCUAAUUUCCAAAUAUGAAAUUUCUCAUUCAUCGUGCAACCAAGUUGCAUGAUUCCAAGUUUCUGUCCAAUUGAAACUUGGGCGAUGAGAAACUCUCCCUAUUUGGUAAAUUCUCGACUUUCCAUAAAUAACAUAAUAAGAACCAAAUCCAUUAUUGCUAAUAAUAGAAACAUUCAAACAUCAAUUUUUCAUAUACGCCAUUGCAAGGAUAAAUAAAUAAUAUAAAAUCAAAAUUUAUUUUAUUGCGGAAAAAUUUUGUCCUUACAAUGCAAUUCAUUGAAAAACUAUGCUAAUACAUCUUUCUUAGCAAUCUAAUUCUAACUCUAAGUAGUAGCUCAAGAAUCUAAUCUUCGAGAAAUGCGAUCGAAAUCCAUUCCUUCACGGUUAGAUUCUGCUCACUUCUUCCCUUAAGCUUCCUUUCUUUUCUUCGAUCCUACAAAACAUCAAUUGUAAUCUUAUCACAUUAUGUAUUAAGAAUCUAGAAUAGAAGCUUAAAAGAGUUAGUUAAUGGAUUUUACCUAUAUUAGAGCCAUACGUUUCGACUCUCCCAUCUCUUAGAUCUCUUAGGUAAAUGGGGCAGCUUCGUCUCCAAUGCCCUUUCUCUUGGCAAUAAAAGCAAAUUGACUCUUUUGGAACAUGACAUGGAACUACUUCAGACAUUGCCUUUCUCUUAUGAUCAAACUUUUCGAUCAUAGCAUGUCUUUCGUUGCCAUUGUCUAUAUCCAUAGAGGUCUUGAAGGCAGAUUCACCAAUCAACUUUGCUUUUCUAUUGCGCCAAACCAUUGCUGAUUCAGCAGCAAUAAGCAUAUAGGUGAGAUCUAUAAGGGUCACGUCGCGGUUCAUCAUAUAGUACUCUCUUACGAACUCACUAUAUGAGUUAGGAAGUGACUGAAGAACCCAAUCAACAGCCAUUUCCUCACAGACAACGGAUCCCAACAUUCUUAACCUAUCAAUGUGUGACUUCAUCCCUAGGACGUGUGCACACACCGACUUUCCUUCUUUAUGUUUACUUGCCAAAAGGGCUUGAGUGAUCUUGAACUUUUCAAGCCUUUGAACUUGUGGGUUAGGGAGAAUAAUUGGAGGAGGUGGAGGAAGUGAAGCAUGAUUUCUUGUUCCUCGAUCGAAUCGUGGAAUAUCAUCUUCAUGUGGAAAGCUUGUUCCACGGGAUUUGGGAAGACCAUAGUUGUCGAACUUUGACAUCUACAAAACGGGAGAAAACGAAUUCAAGUUAGUUGAUUGAUUGAGUCCUUAGUAAAUCACCCAAAUGAGAUACUAAGGCUAGGACCCAACACAAUAUUCUACAACUCGGGAGAGGGAUGCCGUAACCCUAAUUGCAGAAUAUUUGAAGGUAAGUGAAUGACGAUUCACUAAUUUCCACCACGAAAAACGAAAAAGAAAUUUAAGUUUUAAAUCUAUGAAAACUCCUAGAUCCUUUGAGAUUCAUUGAACUUUCAAUGGCAUGUUUAAAUCUCGAUAUGCCCCUCUUGUUUGUGACUGGGAUGCCGAGGAUCACAAAGCGGGUGUGAAUAACCAUGCAAACUUACAUGGUGCCCUCACAUGUUACAGUCACCUAUUCGAUGUGCCGGUAAACCACACACGCUCCACCGAACUAUGACAAACAUUGAGUCACCCUUUGCUACCUUUGCUUAGAACCAUUUAGUGUGCCGGUAAACCACACACGCUCCACUAACGUCUUCGCAAGGGCACAAAGUGUAAUUUCAUGGAAUUGCAUCAAUUCACUUUUGCCUAAGUAACUAAGAUUGGGAAUUUUAUGAAAACAUUUAGUUACUUUUAUACUUCAUUAUACUUAUAAUGGAAGGUUUCGUCCUAUCCUACCCGUUCGGCUAACGACCCUCCACUAGUCAAGAGUGCGGUGGGUAAGAGUGGAUACCCAUUCAAUCGCCAUUUUAUAGGCAAUUUCCUUAAACACCCCUUAUAGACCAGCUUCGUGAAUGAGGCCUACUAACGGUAAGACUGACUUUUACUCAUACAUAUAUAUAAUGUUAGACUUUUAAUGUUAUAUAUAGUAUAGGGUGUAUUUUACACUUUUAAAAUACUAGGUGGUCAAAUUUAACAAUUAUACUUUUAAUUCAAUUAAAUUGUAAACCUAAACUUUUAUGGAUUUAUUAAACCUCUUUUAAUUAUACACCUUAAUUAAUUAAUAAAACCAUAAGGGUGUGAUUUGAACUUUUUCAAAACUAUACUAGAGUUUUAGAAUUUAACAUUCCUAAUUAAACUUUUAAUCAACUUUUAAAUUCCAAAACUUGAGGGCAAGUUUUGAAACAUUUCAACACAUUAGGGUUUAGAAUUUAAAUAUACAUCAAAAUUAAACCAUUUAAUCAAAAUUUAAAUUCCAAAACUUGAGGGCAAGUUUUGAAACCUUUUUCAAAACAUUAGGGUUUCAACUAUUUAAAUUUCAAAACAACAAAACUUUUGGGUUCAAAUUUAAACUAUAAAACCUAAAGGGAAAAAUAUGAAACUUUUCAUAACAACAAGGAUCAAAUAACAAAUAAUCUAAAUUAACAUUUAAUCACAUAAUUAUCCAUAUUUGAUUUAUUUAAUGAUUUCUUGCAAAACAAUUUAUCAAUUUAGUCAAAAUAAUUAAUCAAUUAUCACAUAAGGAAACAAUUAUCUUAUUAAUUGAUGAAUAUAAUCAAUUAGAUCAAGAAUAUAGUCAAAUAUAUCAUAAAAUCGGAUUUAUAUUGAUCUAAUAUGAUAAGGUAACUAUCCCAAAUCAAAAACAGCAAGAAAUCCCGAGAUAUACUCCAUCUGACGAGUUGACUCGUCGAGUCAGCAUGGACUCGGCGAGUCAGUUAUGGACUCGGCGAGUCCAGCCUCCAGAACAUCAAAAAUAGAAUUUUUUUUGAACAUGUAAUGCAUCAAUACAAUUGAAACCAGUCUAGUCUCUGAUACCACUGAUGGGUUUUGGUCAUAAGACAUCCUAUGUGCUCAUACAAACCCUAAUGCUUGGAUCUAGGUUUCUCUAUUGUACAUGCAAGUUAUCCAAGGCUAUAAACCCUAAUUCUAGCAUAUGGGAAUCAAUAUUAACAUAUAAUUAGGUUUAAGAUGUUACCUUGAUUGUUAUGUUGCAAUAACAAUCCCAAUUCUUCCUUGAAUUGACUUUGGAAGGCUUAGAGUCACAAGUGUCACUCCUCUAAUGGCUUACAAACACCAAGAGCAAAUGGAGAAGGUAUAAAGAGAGAGGAGAGGUAUAAGAAUUCAACCCUAAGAUGCCUUGGGAAGGUCUGGACGAAAUCAAGAGCCAUAGGGGUGCUUAUAUAUAGGUGUAGAGAUAGGGUUUCAGUCCUUAUCCUUAUCUAGUUGCUUGUCCACCAAGCAACCCAUAAGAUAAGCCUUGAAUCCUUAUCAUGGUCGAAUUCUAAGUCCUUAUCACCUCAAAUUCGUCCAACCUAUCCUUAGGAUAAUCCUUACCCUAUUUUGUAACUAUCACAUAAUUACAAUUCAGCCCCUCUAUUUUAAUUAAUUACAUUUGAUCACAAAAUUAAUUCUUAAUUAAUUAUUGACCAAUAUUAAUUAAACAAAUAUGAUUUCUCCUUUAAUAUAUUAUUCUUAUAACAUAUUAAUAAAUCAUAAUAACCUCUCUCUCUAUUUAUUUCUCCAAUCAAGUUGCUUUGGUGAAGGCAACCCAAAAGGAUCAUGCACCAUCGGGUCAAGUACAUACAAAAAUAGUUAUGGACUUAGACACUAAUCCAACAGAAUUGUCUUGUUGUUCAAAAACUUAGUCAUUUUAGAAACUUACGACUACCUUUACCAAAAAAAAAAGUUUAGGGAAAUCUGCAAAAAGAAGUUUUUAAAGUUUGGCUCUAUUAAUGUAAAAUUAUUCCAUGAUUUUUUUUUCUUUUUGCAAUUACGCACUAAAAGCCAGUAAACACUUGCAAAAUAACUCUUAUACCCAGUUAAUGAUGGUUUUCUGGGCCAAAUUGUAAAUAAACAAUCAGAUAUGACUUUUUCUUUAAUAGGGUUAAGUUUAAAGACUUUUAUGGAUAUUUAUUUUUUUAUAUACUAAAUUCAUUGUUGAAAACUCAUAUUUAUUUAUUAAAUAACCUAAUAAUGAUAAUUUAAAAAACUCAUAUUUAAGUCUUGGGUGUAAAAAAUUUACUAUAAAACUGCAUCCUAUCGAAGAGCUUCUCACAAUCGAAUGACGCCUUAGAAAAUGAAGGAUUACCAGAGGAUAUUAUUCCCAAAUAAAGCUCCAUUGUACACACCAUGUGGCCUAAAAAACGCUCUUUUUACGACAAAUCAACAAAAGUUUUGUUAUUUGUAUUUAACAUGUGUUUUUAUAACUAUUGUAGAAAAACUUGAACUUAAUUUUGCCACUUCUAAAAAGGUGAAAACACUCUCCAUUGCCAUACUUUACACAUAAGUCACUUGCUUUACACCUAACUUCUGAAAAUUCAACAAUAAAGGUAACAUGUAGCCUAGAAAUGUGCUCCAUAUGAUAAAUUGUAAGAACAAUAAAGAUCGACAGAUUCUAUAUUUGCACUAUGAAUUAAAGAUGAUAAAUAAUGAUGAUCGAAAGAGUGCGUAAUGAUUGUAUUAAUCACAGCUCUAGAAGAAGGAACUUUUCUUUAAGAGCUUUAAAAAGGAGUAACCCUAAAAGUUACGUGCAUGCUAUUUAUACAUUAAGACAAUGAUACUAAUUCCGAUAAUGGACAGGCCCAUUUCGGAAUAAACAAAACUUUAAUAGCAUAAAUUUGACACAACAUCUUAUUUAGACCUAACAAUCUCCCCCUUUGUGUCAAAUCGAAAGAGAGUCUUCAUUUUUGUUUUUGAGUUUCAAAAAUCUUAGGCAUUAUUUUCAGAAGAGAUGCCCUGAUAGCAUGAUACCACUUAAUCAUAUCUGAUACACAUUUUAUAUCCGAAGCUGGAUUGGCUUUGUUUGCUUUAGCCCUUGCCAGAAUCUGAUCCAUUGCAUUUGUGGAGUACAAGUGUUUGUCCCUCAAAAAGAACAUGUAAUUUUUCAGAACUGCACCCUCCUUCUUCAUGUACACGAUGCUCCAAUAUUAUUUAUCUAUCAUUCCCCCAGUCAGAUCUUGGAUAUCCUUCGGUUCUUCAAAUGACUUCAUAAUGGGUCUUUUUUUCAGAAUAGAGGCGAUCUCAAUAUCCAUCCUCGAAACCUCCAAGAUCUAACAUAUGAUCAUCUUCUUCAGAUGGUUGAAAAUUGGCUCAAAUUUUUUUACAUCCUUCACAGUUAUGUUGAAUAAUGAAAUCCAGUCAUUUGGAUUCAUGAAAGGCAAAUCAGCCAAAGUAAACUCAUGAAGCACAUGAUUUGAACCCCGAAAUCCUUUGAAGUGAAUGUUCGUAAAAUCUUCAGUAUCAACAAGUAAUCCGAACUUCAAACCUACGAUCCUCUUCAGACUCCAGGACUCAUAUUGAGGAUUUCCAUACUUGAGAUAAAAACUAAAGAGUUUUUUGUUGACCGUGUUGUUGGAGAUAGGGGACUUCUCAAUUUUCUAGAAACAUUGGAACAUAAACGCUCGUCGGGUGAGGGGAAAGUCUAACUGGAAUUUUAUAUCACUGCAAGUAUCAAAUGAUGUAUUCGAUUCCAGCCAGUAUAGUUCCGGAAGAUCGAUGGCUUCCUUCUGAAUUUGCUUCAUAGUCUAAGCAGGAAACAAGGUCUUUUGACUUUCCAAUAUGAAAGCUGAAUUUUUGACUUCAGCCUCUUCUGCAUCGAGCUUCUCUCAGAGAGCAUUGAGCUCAUCAAGCUCUUUAUCACGUUUCUUUUGAACUAGAUUUUCAAAUUCAGAUAAGUCUUCUUCAAUGUCAUCUUCAUGGAUUACCUUUCCCUUAUAUUUCUUUGAUCCAGAAGCUACAUUAUCCUUCUAAUCAAUAUCUUCUUUCAUCUUAACCUCUUCUUCUCCCCCUUGUUUUGAAGGAGCACUACUUCCUGAAACACCUUGAACCUGAUUCAGUAAAGCAGACACGGGCUUCAGUUUUUCCGAUAGAGCAAGGUGGAUUGUAUAAUUGAAUAGAUAAGAUCUAGUCUCAACGAUUCUCAACAACCUUUAAUGAAUUUCUGAAUUGCGAUCCUUUAUAGAAAACUUCUCAUCUUGGAGCCUAGCAACUUCUGAUCUAGCAUGCUUCAUUGUUUCAUUCAGAACCUUUGCCUUCUGAGUUUGCUUUGCUAGGGCAUCCAUGAUUUUAUUCUCUGCUUCCAAAUCUAUCUUUAACGUAUUAAGCUGGUUGGUGAUAGUUGAGUUCAGAUCGGCAUUGCCGCACAUGAUAUCACCACGAAUCUUCGAUAGUGCUUCUCUCCUAGCCUUUAAAGAAAAACCAAAGGCUUCAAUGACCUUAUUCAGAUCAGCUAUGCUCUUAUCCGAAGAGGCCCUAAAACCAGCCAUGAAGUCUUUAACUUAAGAUUGUAAGAGUAGAACCUUUUCCACAUCUUUAAAUAUUUUCUUUUCUAAGGCUUGAGCAGCCUUAGAGGAUUCUUCAAUGACCUUUGAAUUUUCAGAAGUGAGCAUCUCCAUAGUUUCUCGAUGGGUGGUCAGAAGAUUUUCCCAUUUAGAAGACGAAAACUCUUGAGAGGAAUCCAAAAGUGAGUCAAGCUUUUCUUGUAGCUGCUUGGACUGUCCCUUCGUCAUAAGAGCUUUGUCUUCAUCACUGUUGAUGUUUAGAGGGAAGGGAUGAAAAAUGAAGUCCUCUGUGGGUUCUUGUUCAUAUCCGAAUAAAAUAUCUUUGUCCUUAUUAAAAGGAGAAGCAAUUGAUGUGGUCGGUUCAGAGGUUACACCGAUAUUAACAUUUUCCCCCGUAUUAGAUACGUUGAUAGGGAUGCAUGAAGUUUGUAUCUCCUCUGAAUCGGAUUUGAUUACAGGGACUUCUAUUGGAUCAGAGACUAAGGAUGUAGUAGGAGCUGUUGAAUCGGAAAACAUAGGUGAGGAUAGAGGGAUUGAAAUCUGAGGAAUAGAAAUUCCAACAGAAUUCAUUUGUGGUAAGGGAGGGGGGAUGAUAUCGGAAUAGUGGAUGUAGUGGGUGAGGAUUUCAUGGGUAAAGUGAUGGGUUAUGGUCAUAAGACAUCCUAUGUGCUCAUACAAACAUAAUGCUUGGAUCUAGGUUUCUCUAUUGUACAUGCAAGUUAUCCAAGACUAUAAACCCUAAUUCUAGCAUAUGGGAAUCGAUAUUAACAUAAGAAUAGGUUUAUAAUAUUACCUUGAUUGUUAUGUAGCAAUAACAAUCCCAAUUCCUCCUUGAAUUGACUUUGGAAGGCUUAGAGUCACAAGUGUCACUCCUUUAAUGGCUUACAAACACCAAGAGCAAAUGGAGAAGGUAUAAAGAGAGAGGAGAGGUAUAAGAAUUCAUCUCUAGGACCUCUUUGGAAGGCAUGGACGAAUUCAUGAGCCCUGAGGGUCUUUAUAUAGGUGUAGAGAUAGGGUUUCAGUCCUUAUCCUUAUCUAGUUGCUUGUCCACCAAGCAACCCAUAAGAUAAGCCUUGAAUCCUUAUCAUGGUCGAAUUCUAAGUCCUUAUCACCUCAAAUUCGUCCAACCUAUCCUUAGGAUAAUCCUUACCCUAUUUUGUAACUAUCACAUAAUUACAAUUCAGCCCCUCUAGUUUAAUUAAUUACAUUUGAUCACAAAAUUAAUUCUUAAUUAAUUAUUGACCAAUAUUAAUUAAACAAAUAUGAUUUCUCCUUUAAUAUAUUAUUCUUAUAACAUAUUAAUAAAUCAUAAUAACCUCUCUCUCUAUUUAUUUCUCCAAUCAAGUUGCUUUGGUGAAGGCAACCCAAAAGGACCAUGCACCAUCGGGUCAAGUACAUACCAAAAUAGUUAUGGACUUAGACACUAAUCCAACAGUCUCCCACUUGGAUAAGUCUAAUAACUAUUCUGCGUAUGACUUCAGAUCCUGAUCUGCAAUCGUAGCUUUCCAAAGCCGCUGUCAACUCUGAUCCUAUCAGAUACGCGUGUCCUUAAGUAAGGGAUCAUAUAUUCCUCCAUUCUAGAUAUCAUAUGAGAUAUGAUUUCAAAUCAUUCUCUUUGUACUAUAUCUCGAUUCCCGAUUUAUGACGACUGACUAAUUGAACAAAUCAAAUUAGCCCUAGCCCGGCCGAGCAUUUACGUUUGUCAUCACUAAAUCAUCGAGGGGCCCAAAGAUAUCGCUUUUAUCCUACUUUGGAUAAAAGGAACGGAUAAACUUUGAUACAAUGCUUGCUUGCACUCACUCACCGAAUCACACACAACAAUAUGUUUUAUAACACCAAGUUACUAGUGCGUUUACAUAUUAUCAAUGUGCAACCGAUUUGCAAGAUACAACUCACACAUCUCGGUUUCAAGAAUAUAAGAUGUUAUCGUCUCACCAAUCACUCGUGAUACAAUUCAUGGAGUGAUCCAAGUGAGCGUGGGUUUAAUCCAAUGCUCAAAUCAUAUUCAUAAGCACUCAUGAACGUUGCAGCAAACAUUUGCUUAUGUCUAAUACUCUUUUAGACAAUCCACACACCAAUUCACGACAGUCUUCAUUCAUAUCUACUUCCAACAUAUGAACGACUGUGGCCCGUUCGAAUAAUUCGAUUAUUCUUAAUAAACUCAAUUAUUCUGGAAGUCAAAACAUGCAAAUGUGAAACACAAGAAUAAUACUAAUCCCAUAUGGCCUCAAACCUUUGAGUAUAAAUAAAACACCUUUUAUUUAUCACCAUAUUGAUUACUCAUUAUUUGUCGUUUCGGGUAAUCAACUUCUUACUUGAAUUACAACACUUGUCCCAUGCUCCUAGCAUGCACACAAUGUUUACCUAUGGUUCUUACUUUGUGAAAUAGAUCACAUUGAACACAUUUCCAAUCAUUCUCAUUUCACAACUCCAAAUCCUUUUUCAUAAGUGUAAGAAUAUCAAAUUCUUGCUACUUAUAGAAUAUGCUAGAUUCUAACAUUCUAUGCAAUUAUCCUUUCGUAAUGUCACUGCACCAAAGUCACAAAGACUAUUGCCAAUGAUAUUACAAAGUCCUCUAUCGGAGAUUGUUACAAGACAAUUCCAUAGAUGUGAUGUCUCUCACUCAAAGUACAUUCUUUGAACAUCCUUUUGCAUAGAAGUUUCUAAUCUAGUCAUAGAUUUCUCAAUAUUCAAUUCCCAAUAUGGACACACUUCCAUAUGUUCCAUAUGACAACUCAUUCUUAAUAGAAUCUUAUCUAUUCGUAAUGAUGUCGAUAUGGUCCAUCCAAUAUGGAAACAUUUCCAUAUUUUCCAAUACUAUACUUCCAACUACUCACAAGCGACCAAUCCUCGUCGAACUUUGGAUUGUCCUUUGAUAGUUGUUUAAUUAUUUUAGUCAAAACCAAUUCUAGUCCCUUUUCCCUCUAAAUGCGCUCGACAUUUGGAAAAUUUUAGAAUGGUCAAACAUUAAAGCAUUUGCAAUCGAUCCUAUACCCGAAGCGUAUGGGACACGACGCAUAAUGUUUUAUUUGCUAUGUUCUCAAAAUUCGAAUUGUGAAGAGGGAUGCCGUAAUCAUAAUCGAAAUUUUAAGAACACACUUUGUACCUUUGACUAAAUUUUAUUAACAUUUCUCAACCUAAACCUUUAGAUUUGAAAUGAAGCAUAAUAUUCUCUCCCUUAAUUAUAGCAAAACAACUCUUCAACUAUUGCGACUUUGCAAAGUAUGACUCUUGUUUUCUAUAAUUAAUAUUGCUAACCUUGCAAUACUUUCCUUAAUAAUCAUACAAUCAUAACUUUUAUGCUCCCACUAUC
rnacentral:lncRNA from 1 species